rnacentral:misc_RNA from 1 species
UUAGAGAUGAGUUUUCUCUUGGCAAUAGAUUUACAGGCGUAGUCGAUACCGGAAGACAAUUCGGUGCAUAAGUAAGUGGUGCCAAACUGGCCUUGUCCUAGUUUGCGGCCGAGGGUGUAUAGAUCACGAAUGUUAGGGGUCUUAUGACCGAGGACGUAAUAGGACUGGUUAGUGCUUGUACGAUUCAUGGUGACGAGGGGUUGUUGUUCUUUUUUUGGGUUGGGGGAAUCGGAAUUAUGUUUGGGAUUGGAAUUGGAUUCUGAGUGAUCUUGAGGCUGAGGGUAGCCCUGAAAAGUUUUGCCUCCGAAAGAUCCACGGCAUGCGUUGCCCAUCAAACAAUCAAAAUCCCCAGCACUCAGCUCAGUUUCCUCAUCCAAUACUAGUAGCACUUGUCUUCUUCCCAUCGAAUUCAUGUCUUAUUAGAUCUAUCAAUAUCAAUAUUCUUGAAGAAAACAAGU